AAAUGCGGUGUGCGACAGGCAUUGCUGUCUGCGCGGAGUGGCAUUUUGCGGCAAUUUUGGCUUCCUAGGUAGUAGAGAUCUUUUGGUGACGCACCUUCGGCGCUGUUGUUUUUUUUUUGAAUAGAAUUGAAUUCUCAUAGGUGCUGCCAAUGCCAUAAUUUCCUCUGAUGCUACUAAAUCCUUUGGGCAAGUCGAUUUGAGAAAGAGAACGAUAUUUCAGGGAAAAAACUAGGAUGGAUACACAAGGGAAUCAGUAUAAUUGAGAGAAGCUCAGGAGUACACAGAUCUGGUCGCAUUCUUCAAUUCAGGCGCAUGAAAACCAAUGACAACAUUAUAUUGGGAUUAUCAAAAAUUAGGCAAAUCAGGCUCUCGACAUGAAAGAUUAUCUAGAAUAGUUCACCAAUCUUGUAGAAAAACUUAAUGCUAUUCUCCAUGACUCCAUCCAAACCUAGUCAUUGAAACAUGGCUUACUACUAAGCAUCAAGCAAGGCCAUAAUAUACAUGCAAUUUAAAAGCAUAGAAAAAAUGCUUGAAGCUACCCUUAAGAUCGGGUGCAUGUUGUCAUUUGUACAAGAAUUCAAACAAAAGAAUCCAAAUGAAACAUUGAUAAUGUGUAAACAUUGCCACAAAAUAUAUUUCAAGGAGUGUUGGUAGAAUUCUUCAAAUCCAAAAAAUUCACAAAAAAAAACUCAA
rnacentral:lncRNA from 1 species